UACGAAGGGGGCUAGCGUUGCUCGGAAUCACUGGGCGUAAAGCGCACGUAGGCGGCUUUCUAAGUCAGGGGUGAAAUCCUGGAGCUCAACUCCAGAACUGCCUUUGAUACUGGAGAGCUCGAGUCCGGAAGAGGUGAGUGGAACUGCGAGUGUAGAGGUGAAAUUCGUAGAUAUUCGCAAGAACACCAGUGGCGAAGGCGGCUCACUGGCCCGGAACUGACGCUGAGGUGCGAAAGCGUGGGGAGCAAACAGGG
rnacentral:rRNA from 1 species